GGUCUGAAUGCACAGUAAGCUAACGUUGCAUCUAUGAAAUGAAAACGUGAAACCUUCGAAAUGCUAUCACAUUCGACAUUGUGCGUGACUACUUGUACCUUGAUAUGGCGAAUCCAGUCAUCCACACCUUCAAAACCCCACUGCUCCAGAGGGUGUCAACAGGCCUACAAGGAAAGACGGAUGACUUUCCUCUGCCACCUGCCCAGCUGUUGAAUGAGGUCAUUGCCCUUGCCUACGCGGUAUGGGGAAGUUGGUGCUGCCAUUCAACCAAUAUCUGAAUGCCACGUUUCACUGGCUUGUGUCAAAUGCAGGGGCUACAUGAAGUACAUCCUAUCUAAAUUUUUAAUGAAACUUAUGUUGUCAUAAAAAACUGAUUAGUUAAAUCGCUCCGAGUUCUGAUGCCGUGUAUGGUGGUGUUAGAUCUGGUCUCCACACCACAAACAAAAUAAAAAACGAUCCAGCCCUGGACACCAGAUCACGUCAGAAAAUAUAAGUUAACACCCUAUAACUGUCACUGUCCCACAGGUGGGACGUUUGGCAUUAUAUAUUUAAAACAAUAAUUACAUAGUCUAAACCUACACCAAUCAUACAAACUAUAUACCGUUGGAAAGCUCUAAGAAUGUAGUUUUAAUAUAUCAACACCAUUUUGAAAAAAAAAUUAUGUAGUAAGAGUCAUUUUCUAAAAUGUCAACAGGUGGGCCCAAAAUGUUAUUACAUAUUUAUUUGUAAAUAUCCCAUUAACCUGAAAUAACCUCAACAAACUAUAUAUUGUUGGAAAGCUCAGGGAAUGUAGUUUUCAUAUUUCAAGGCCAUUUGAUGAUAGAAUUUGGAUAGGGACAGUUAUUUUGUUAAAUGUCACUCACCCCAUAGGAAUACAUGUAAAGUAUUAUAUAUUUAUAACACUAAUACCCUAUAAUCCUAAAAUAAUCUUGACAAACUAUAUAUUGUUGGAAAGCUCUAGGAAUAUAGUUUUCAUAUUUCAAGGCCAUUUGAUGAUGGAAAUUUAGUAGGGACAGUCAUUUUGUUAUUUGUCACUGACCCUGUAGGAGUCCAUAUGAAUUCGUAUAUAUUCAUAAUUCUAAUAUUCUUCAAAAUGAAUAUAUGAAUCUGCAAAAAUCUUGACAACCUAUAUAUCGCUGGAAAGCUCUAAGAAUGUAGUUUUCAUAUUUCAAAACCUUUUUGCAUUAAAAACAAUGCAGAGACAGUAAUUUAUUAACUUGUGACAAGAUAAUGCAAAUAACCGUUGACACCUAGUGGCCUUGGUUGGUAAAACCACUAAAAGUGUGACAGAAACUUCAUUUUUUGUUAUUUUCACUUAAAAUUGGGUUCAGAACUAGUUGAGACUUGUGUCUUUAUUGGUGUGGUGUUUUGAGAGUAAAACAUUCUAAUCAAAUGUAUAUAAAAAUUUAAGAGUAUAUACUUUAUUGCAUUAUUUUUAUUAUUUAAAAUAAAUUUAAACGGGUAUAACUUUUUGGUCAUUUAAUAUUUACAACUUCAAACACCUUAGUGUAAAACUAUAAAUUAUCUUCUUUAAAAAGAGACCAAGAUUUUGCUUCUAAACCAAAGAAUGCCAGAGUUAUAGUAAUUUUAACGUGCAGAUCACCUUUUCACCCCCCCCCCCUACUCAAAAGGGGCGGUGACAGUUAUAGGGUUAAUAGGCAUCUGUCAGUUAAAAGGUUGAUCAAUCGUUGCUAGAGGAGAGCAUAAACAGAGGCGUGAGAUGAAGGUUUAGAUGAUAAAAUAGAACAGAAUUUUAUUGAUGGACAGCUUAGUUUCAGUUGCAUAUGCCUCAAUGUUCAAACCUCGUCUACCCAGGAAUACAGCGUGCACGGUUAUAACCAAAUUGCUCAGCUACAACAUCCAGACCUUGGGCUUCCAUAAACAUUCUCUUUAUCUAUCACGGUUUACACACAGACAGAACAGCUCUAUGAAACUGAACCACCAUUAAAUUAAGACAUAAGAAAUAUAGAAAUAUAAUGAUAAAAAUAAAAUAAUACUAAAUCAAAUAAACAAUUAUAUGGAUAACUAAUGAUUAUAAAAUGAUUAUGUAAGUAAAUGAUUAAGAAUAAACUUAAAAACACAAUAAUAAAAACAUUCUGCACGUGAGGAUCUAAGGUAGGAUCCUUCAGUGGAAAAGGUUGACGACACAGAACAUACUCCGCACCUCUGAUCGAUCGCCUUAACUCCAGAUGCCAGCAGCUGUUUGGAGAGACUGUAGAGGAGAAUUUCCGUGUACCUGCUCAAGUGAUGUCAAAUGAUUUGCUUGGCUUAGAAUAUCUAUUCAGCCAAAGCACGGGUGAAUCAGUUCCCUUCAGCCUCUUCGACAUCUCAAUGGAUGGACCUAGUCUGUAGGAAGAGGUGGUCCACGCUGGCCAGCUUGUCCCAGAUGAGGAUGAGGCAUAUCAGAGUGAUCCAGAGGCGGGUGACAACAUAGUGACGGCCAUACCAGCCCAUAACUAAAGAGACCCGUGCAGCUCACCCUCCAGCUUUUGAGGAUGCUUGUAGUUCCAACCCUCUGCCUGGGUUCCAGCAGUUGGAGAAGUUCUGUUCUUUGCUGGUGGAGGUUGGCCUGACUGAAGGCAAGCUGAGCCUUACCACAGAUCAAAGAAACGCCAUCACUGAUGCAUGAAAUA